rnacentral:rRNA from 1 species
ACGCUCGACACCUACGGGAGGCAGCAGUUAAGGAAUAUUGGGCAAUGGAGGAAACUCUGACCCAGCAACGCCGCGUGAAGGAAGAAGGUUUUCGGAUUGUAAACUUCUGAUCUAGGGGAAGAAGGAGGUGACGGUACCCUAGGAGAAAGCCACGGCUAACUACGUACCAGCAGCCGCGGUAAUCUGAGCGGGCUGGCAAGGC